rnacentral:rRNA from 1 species
UACGGAGGGUGCGAGCGUUGUCCGGAAUCACUGGGCGUAAAGGGCGCGUAGGCGGCGCGGGCAGUCAUCGGUGAAAGUUCAGGGCUCAACUCUGAAUCGGCCGGUGAUACUCCCGUGCUCGAGCACUGUAGAGGCAGGUGGAAUUCCGGGUGUAGCGGUGGAAUGCGUAGAGAUCCGGAAGAACACCGGUGGCGAAGGCGGCCUGCUGGGCAGUAGCUGACGCUGAUGCACGAAAGCUAGGGGAGCAAACAGG